GCAAGGCAAGUUACUUCUAUAGAAGGGUGCAUGCUUACACAUGGAGCAAUGGUGAGUGCACACUUGGACAAGGGAGGGGAAGGGGUUCUUAUCCCUGAUGCAUACGGCCCCUGCUGCUGUGUCAUUCCCCUAUUGGCUAGGGUUAGACCGCACAGGCUAAACUAAUUCUGAUUGGCUAAUUUAAAGACAGUGACAGGGUGAGUGGUUUGGCAGGAAAAAUGGUUAUGACAGAGCAGGUCAUCGGAAUGAGUCAGGGUGGAGUAGGUAAUCGGAAUGAGUCAGGGUGGAGCAGGUAAUCAGAAUGAGUCAGGGUGGAGCAGGUGAUUGAAAUGAAUCAGGGUGGAGCAGGUAAUUGAAAAAGGUUGC
rnacentral:lncRNA from 1 species